UUGGAGCAAUUCUAAUAAAAGAAGGCAGUGCUGCUAAGGGAGAAGUGGUAGGAAUCUCCCAGAGAAGCCCCAGCCUCCUUUGAUGUUAGUUGUGGACACAUCACUUAUUUUCAACCAACAGAAUCAUCACUUGACAAUGGUGACCUCUACUCCCUUGAAAAUACUUGAAAAAAAUAUUUCCUAUGGGCUAAAGAAUAAGUGAGAGGUAUGUGAACAAUGGAAGAAUAGUUUCCAUUUAAGAUGGCUUCAGGAAAGUGGUGCUUGUAAGAAGAAUCAAGUUCCAAUUAAUGUCAAGAGAUUGUUGUGGCAUCUGGACACAUGACACACUUGAAAACAACACAUUAAAUUUAUACUGCCUGGAAUAGACAAAAAGCUGCCUUGCUGAAGUCCAGUGGCGUGAUCUUGGCUCACUUCAACCUCCGCCUCCUGGGUUCAAGCAAUUCUCCUGCCUCAGCCUCCUAAGUAGCUGAGAUGACAGGUGCCUGCCACCAUACCCAGCUAAUUUUUGUAUUUUAGUGGAGUAUUUAUUUUGUAUUUUAGCCUCCCUGUUGGCCAGGCUGG
ensembl:lncRNA novel transcript